CAGAACGGCCAUCAGACCCUGUCCCUGCCUUGCUCCGGCUCUGUUCUCAAGGCUGCUUUCCUGGUGUGGGAGCAGCAUCCACUCAGAAGCUCCAAGUUCUGGUUUUGUCAGCAGAUUUUUCCUUGUUGUAUUGAUGGCCCAACUCCAUGAGGCAAAGUUCCUUAAAAGGCUAAUAUGGAAGGCACAUUGUGAAUUUGUUAUGACUCUGAAGACGUGAAUUGAUACUUAAAUAUAAGCUGUUGCUCAGGUAGAAGUCAUUGUUUUGUGGGUUGAGUUAACUAAAUGAAAAGCUUGGUUACCGGCACCAUGGAUGGCCUUCAAUCUACCCUUACCUAACACCACAUGGUUCCUGAACAGAAAGGCAUUUGGCCCAGACAGGCUCAUUUU
rnacentral:lncRNA from 1 species